GGAUGUGACCACAGAAUUCUCUCAGGAGGAGUGGGGAUGCCUGAACCACAGCCAGCGGGAACUUCACAGGGAUGUGAUGUUAGAGAACUGUGGACACUUCCUCUUCUUGGGACAUUAGCAGAAUGGAGAAAUGGGAAAUACCAGCACUUUGCUUUUCCAUGAAAUAAAAAAGUAAUGAAAUGACCAUUCGGGGUGCUCCAGCAGCCAGUUGGGAGAACACUGCACACCCAGGCAAAUACAAAUGAGGAAGAGCUCCAUCAAAGAGACAAGGAACGUUCGGGACACUUGAACACAACAGCUACUCGCCCUCUCUGGCGCUCCGUGGCAAGACUGUGAGAAAACUCUUACCUCCUCCAAGGAGACAAACAAACGAGUCAGCUAUCCGUUCAUUGAUCUCAUUUAUUGGCAGCUGUGUGAAGGACUUCCUUCUGUCGUGCAGGACAUGCGAAGCUGAGGGAAUGCCAGCACCUUCUGGACACACGGUGGUGGUGCUCAGAGAAAAGCUGUAUCUUCCAAUGGCACCCAGAGCCUCCUUCCAACGAUGUGCACAGAAACUUCUUUCCAAAGAGUCAGUGGGUAGACAUAAACACAGUACCCUUGGGAAUGUACACGUAAUGAGGGACUGGAACAGGACUGGGAAGAGAGAAGGCAUCAAAGACAUGAUG